rnacentral:lncRNA from 1 species
UAAAUGAUGGUUAGAAAAGACCUCACCGAGGGGAAGACUUUUGAAUAAAUGAAUGAAUAAAAAGAGAGAGCAAGAAAAAAGUUAAAAGGGGAAGAACAUCCCAGAUUGACGGAAAAGGAGCGAGGAGACAAUGAGCAAGAAGACCAGCUGGUAAACUCAGCGGAGGGACAUUUCCAAG